AGAGCGAACGCUGGCGGCAGGCCUAACACAUGCAAGUCGAGCGCCCGUAGCAAUACGGGAGCGGCAGACGGGAGAGUAACACGUGGGAACGCGCCCUUCGGUUCGGAAUAACUCAGGGAAACUUGAGCUAAUACCGGAUACGCCCUUACGGGGAAAGAUUUAUUGCCGAAGGAACGGCCCGCGUCCGAUUAGCUAGUUGGUGAGGUAAUGGCUCACCAAGGCGACGAUCGGUAGCUGGUCUGAGAGGAUGACCAGCCUCACUGGGACUGAGACACGGCCCAGACUCCUACGGGAGGCAGCAGUGGGGAAUAUUGGACAAUGGGCGCAAGCCUGAUCCAGCCAUGCCGCGUGGAUGAUGAAGGCCUUAGGGUUGUAAAGUCCUUUUAACGGGGAGAUAAUGACGGUACCCGUAGAAUAAGCCCGGCUAACUUCGCGCCAGCAGCCGC
rnacentral:rRNA from 1 species